CUCCUACGGGAGGCAGCAGUGGGGAAUAUUGGACAAUGGGCGAAAGCCUGAUCCAGCAAUGCCGCGUGUGUGAAGAAGGUCUUCGGAUUGUAAAGCACUUUCGACGGGGACGAUGAUGACGGUACCCGUAGAACGAAGCCCCGGCUAACUUCGUGCCAGCGAGCAGCCGCGGUAAUAC
rnacentral:rRNA from 1 species